GGCCAUGCUUUUCCACAGCUUUCUUGAACUUUCUUUGUGAACGACUCGAUCUCAAAAAUAUUAGCUUAUGCUAGAUAAUAGCUAUAUAGCACACCGAGGAAGCUCAAGAAAGCUGUGGGAAAACAUGGCAA
rnacentral:pre_miRNA from 1 species